UUCUUCAAGUUUUGUUCUUUAAAACUGGUUUUAGCAUACUUAUUCUGUCCAUAACUUGCUGGUAUGCUCAAUUUUAUUUUGAUUUUGCAUAGUAUAAAAGUAAAGGGAUCCCGAAGUGUAAACAUUACAUCUUCGUAACUAGAGUGUUUUGUAUAAGCUCCAAUAUGUUAGCUAGGAUCAUCGUCUUCUGUGUCAUUUUGGCAAUUGUCUAUAGUUCUCCUGUUGGAGGACAGCGUGGAGGGUGGUGGGCCCCCGAAGGUGCAACUGGGGCUUUUGGAGCCCAAGGCCCUGUUCUACCCCCUAGUGGUACAUAUUCAAGCGGUGGAGGUAUGGCCUCUGGAAGUGGUGGUCACAGAUGGGGUUGAGAUAGUGAUUAUCAUCAGAGCUGCUGAUCUUGCUGAUAUGGGCAUUGGAAAAAAGCUGUUAGAAGCUUCAUGCAUUUAAUUCUUUGUAAUCAGAUAAAUAAAUUAUUUGCAGCAUUUCUUCAA